UCCCUGGUAGUUCAGUGGUUAAGACUUUGCACUUUCAAUGCAAGGGAUGCAGGUUUGAUCCCUGGUCAGGGAA